AACUGGUAACAGUAGGAACGCC
rnacentral:miRNA from 14 species